rnacentral:rRNA from 1 species
GACGAACGCUGGCGGCGUGCCUAAUACAUGCAAGUCGAACGAAGCUGUUUUAACUGGUGCUUGCACCGACUUAAACAACUGAGUGGCGAACGGGUGAGUAACACGUGGGUAACCUGCCCCAAAGCGGGGGAUAACAUUUGGAAACAGAUGCUAAUACCGCAUAACCACAGAAACCACCUGGUUGCUGUGUCAAAGAUGGUUUCGGCUAUCACUUUGGGAUGGACCAGCGGCGUAUUAGCUAGUUGGUAAGGUAAUGGCUUACCAAGGCAAUGAUACGUAGCCGAACUGAGAGGUUGAUCGGACACAUUGGGACUGAGACACGGCCCAAACUCCUACGGGAGGCAGCAGUAGGGAAUCUUCCACAAUGGACGAAAGUCUGAUGGAGCAACGCCGCGUGAGUGAAGAAGGUUUUCGGAUCGUAAAACUCUGUUGUCAGAGAAGAACGUGUGCGAGAGUAACUGUUCGUGCAGUGACGGUAUCUGGCCAGAAAGCCACGGCUAACUACGUGCCAGCCGCCGCGGUAA